rnacentral:rRNA from 1 species
GACGAAGGGGGCUAGCGUUGUUCGGAAUUACUGGGCGUAAAGCGCGUGUAGGCGGUCCAUCAAGUCAGGCGUGAAAGCCCCGGGCUCAACCUGGGAACGGCGCUUGAGACUGGUGGGCUAGAGUUCGGGAGAGGAUGGUGGAAUUCCCAGUGUAGAGGUGAAAUUCGUAGAUAUUGGGAAGAACACCGAUGGCGAAGGCAGCCAUCUGGACCGACACUGACGCUGAGGCGCGAAAGCGUGGGGAGCAAACAGG